UCCGCGCACCGAUCGGCCGCCAUGGAACUCUGAACGCGCGUGCCUUUUAAUUCCUAAACUAAAGUUAGUGACAAUUGAAAGAAAACUUGUGAAACAUGUUGUGCCUAAUAAGGAGAUGUGCCUUCGUUUGCAUGCUGCUGGCAACGGCGCUUGCGCAGAACACUGAGAGCAGCGGCGACUUCACACCUGUAGUUAGUGCCACAUGCAAGACUGGUGUCAUGUCAAUCAGGAUCAACUUCAGCCAGCCUUUCAAUGGAGUCGCGCAUGCCAGAGAGUUCAGAACACCGUCGUGCAUGGUGCUGGGGAAUGGUACGGAGUCUGUAACUUACGACAUCAGCCUUACGGCUGCAGCGGGUUCGCCAGAUUAUUGCGGGGUUUUUUGGAAUCACAGAACCGAUGAACGAUCAUUGCCUCUGGCGGUUCGCGUGCACCGAACGCUCGAGCUGGCAGACGACAAGUUCUAUGUCAUCACGUGUGGCAAGGCCGGUAUAAGUAACUCGAGAAACGAAACAUUGACAGUGUCGCUCAGAAUGUUGAACUCAGACGGACGCAAGGUACUCAAUGCAGCUUUCGGAAUGCCAUACACUCUGCGAGCAGAACUAAGCAAACCUGACGGAACCCACGGCAUCCGUAUGAGAAAUUGUUUCGCGUUCAGCAUGCGCAAUCACACAGUAGAUCUUCUAGACAAACGAGGAUGCCCGCUGAAAGAACAAUCCGUAGCAUUGAAAACGGAAAACGGCGCAGCUGAGUUGGCGAUUGCAUCAAUGUUUAAAUUUCCGAACUCGUCCCAAAUCAACUUCCAAUGCGAAAUUGGAAUUUGUAAAGGCAGCUGUAUGGCAACAGAUUGCAAAACGGAAGGCCGAAUCGAGCCAGCGGACGAAGAAGGUGCUGUUACUGCUUCUACCGGGCUAUUUGUGCUCGACCCCAAUGAUAGUGCUGUUGCAGCAUUGGCCUGCACAGAGGGCGGCGUGCGACCGCUGUGGCUGCUGUACUUGGCAAUAGCCCUUGGAGUCAUGUUCCUGGUUAUGCUGCUCAUCAACUGCUUCCUUUGCACCGCCAUGACAUGCUCUUGUGCAAGGACUGACGUGAUAGAGAAGGACCCCUCUGUGGUGGAAGAUUAUGACCCGUACCGCAGUUGGCACGGAAGUCAGUACGGCAGCCGGUACCCAUCUUCAACCAUACACUCUGCGAGUUCUGGUUAACCAACUAGGUCAGUGUCGGACAACAGCGACCACUACGCCAUAGUCCAGUCGAGGCCGGGGAGUCGACACUCCGGCAUGCAUCGAAAUAGGCAUUGAUCACAGAGUAAAACAAUUUCACUAUUGGCGCAUCUUGUGAAAAUUCUACGUCAUUGCAAUAAAAGUGAUUUAAGUUGUAUAUAAUAGAAGUUUAGAUGUUCUUAUUUCGCUGAUUAGCAACUUUAGGUGCAGAAUGAAAUCACAGGUGCAACUAUAAAUUUUGAAAUAACCUUGUAAAAAUAUUGUGUUUAAGCAACUAAAGUGUCUAAGCGAGCCUAACGUAGAAAAACAGGCUAGCAGGGUGAUUACGUAACUCAAGACUGGCUUGCGACAGGCGUACAUCUUGCAAUCACCGCUGUCAAACGUCACUUGUUUAUUUAUUGUAUGGAAAAGUGACGUUUGACAGCAGUGGUUGCAAGAUUUACGCAUGUCGCAAGCCUGUCGCGAGAUACGUAAUUACCCUGUAGAUUUAAGCGGUAAAAUUACUAAUAUUAUUAUUUAGAUAUUCGCAGCGAAAAUCCUAGGUGUUUCUAUCCCUCACGAAAUCAAGGGGAUUAAGGAAGAAGCAGAAUAAGUAUUCCAAUGGGUUAGGUUCCCAUUCAUCUCUAAAAAAGAAAAUGGAACAUUUUUUGCAAACAAAAGCAUAAAAUAAUACUGACAAAAUAAACACAGAAGAUUACCUUAAUCUCUUAGUGUCUACAAUUACCUACCAGUUUUGAAGCCUACAGUGCAACAAUGUUGAAAAUGUUAAUAACAUGUAAGGUAACAAUCCAAUAACUUAUUUCAUUAAUAUACCUGUGAAUAUCGUCCUUACGUUUUGUUAUAUAACAAGGACUCAAUUUAUCAUAAAUACUGAACAUACUAUGGUAGUAUCUAAUUUGAGUAGGGAGGUAACAUACCUAUUCGGCUUCCUUCAUGAUUUUCAAUAACUAAGAUUUUGACAUAGCUGAUAUCCUAAUUUUAUUAAGACGACUAAGUAUAAUAUGCCUACCAAUCAAUUACAUUAUAUAGUAUAUGUACUUAUAUAAAACGCGUGUGAAUUGUCUUACCGUAUAUUAUAACCCGUAAAAGUAAGCACUUAGUUUAGUGAGCGAUAAAGCUGUUAUCUAUUAUGCUCCGGUAUAAUAGAAACUCAAAAGAAAUCGGUACGUACGUUCAGUACCUUUAGUAAGAGUAUAAUUUGUAUGCUCUUAAUCGAAAGUCUUGUUUCGACGAUCAAUAGUUAGCAGCGUCAGAGUAAAAUGGAAACGACACCCGCACUACGCUUCAACGAAAAUGUUUAUAAGACCAGCCAUAGAAGCAGAGCCCAUGGCCGCAAGUCUGCUAACGCAUAAAGACAAACAGACUAUCAUUGAAAAAAAGUAGGAAGGUAGUAAUAAAAAAACUCUAUUAAUAAACCAUUUGACGAUAAAUAAAAUUGAUGUUGCUGCUUCCUACGCUACAUAAACCUCUAGUGGCUGGUGGAUGAAUAAUUUACAAGAAAAGCGUAAAAUGAUGAUUGGAAACAUGCUGCGGUCACGCUUCUUUGAUUUUUGUUGUCAUUAAUAUUUUUUUUUUUUUGAUUUUUUGCUGACAUUGAUAACAAUUGCAAUAGCAGACUUAGACCCCAGGUGGUGAGCUAGCAUAGUGGAUAUGUGAAAUGAUAAAAUAAUUAUUAUACAUCACAUGAUAGCCUAACCAUAUAUCUAGGUUAGGCUACAACUUGCGGAAUUUUGUCGUAUAGAACUUCAUUGUAUUUCGCUCGCUUGUCGAUUCGCUUCGCUCGAAUACCUACCCUUAAACGUCUUAAAAAGUGAAAGUUUACCUACAUCUUAAAAUAAUAAUAAAACUUGUGCCAUUUAAUUUCAAUAUUUACAUUAUGUACCUAUUUUAUUGUAUAAUGACUUGAAAUGUUUCCCGAAGUUAUUUUUAAAGACAAAUAACUUUUUUAUUAAAGUAUUUUCGUUGUCUACGCAAUACCUGAAAAAUGCAACGAAUCCGUCCCCUAGAAAUAUAAGUUACUAGUUAUUUUAGUAAGUAGGUAUACGUAAAAUAAAAGUUUACUUAUAGAACUACCACUGAGUUAUUGUGCUAUAUACAGGUACCUACUUAUCUUACCCAUAUUAAAGUACGUAAUAUAUUUGCAUCUAUUAAACAUUACUAUAACCGCUAAUUUUCAAUAUCAUAUAUCAUACGAGUUUACAUUAUUAAAAUGUAAGCAAGGUGCUUAGAAAAUAUAUAGAAACUUGUUACUACCAGAGUAGUUUUGAGUACUUCUGUAGAAUAAAAACCGACGACUAGAUUGCCAAGUGCGAGAUUUUCCACGAAUGUGUACUUAUUCGGUCGCGUGAAAGUUUAUUACAAUUUGUAUGGUAUCGAAAUAGCGCCAUCUAGUGACAGUAAGGUUUCCCAGUAUUGGAACUAGAUGGCGCUUCUUUCAUACCAUAUAAAUCGUUUACUUUCACGCAAGCUAGUAAGUAAGCGUAGGUAGAAAAUCUCACACUUGGCACUCUGGUCUUACCAAACCAUUUGUCGUAUAUUGGGCACGAUUUAAUUGUUUUCAUAUACAUAAAGCUGCUGUAAACACUGUUAACCAUGUUUCACGGAUUGGCAGGUAUAUCUACCAAUUUAUUAGAAACGUAUUUUCAUUUAGGUACGUAGGCACACCUAAUAGAUUUUAUAAAAUAAGAAUAUGUAAUUUUUAAUUAUCAGUAUUAACUUCUUUUUUAAUAUAUACUUUAUUUUUAAAUCUUUUGAAGGUACAUACUUGAUUAUACAAGUAAUUAAGGACUGACCUAUUUAAAAAAUUCACGAUACCUUGCUCUAAGCAAAAAUGUAUGUUUAGGAUGCAUUUUUGUUCCCUCAAAGCUCAAAAUGUAUAUGUACCGUUAGUUUAAUAUAUUAAAGUAACAAAUAAACUAGUUCGUAAGUAUUAUCUGAGAAAGCUCGAGUGAUAUAAAUGUAAAAAAAUAAAUUAUAUUUUAACAAAAUGUC